AGCACUGUGGCGAUGUGUGUGCUACUUAAAGCACUAAGUAGGCCAAAGAGACGCAAAGCAAAGUGUCGCACGCACACACGCACGCUGCAUGGCGACGAUGGGAACAAGAAUAGUCAUAGACACUAAUCGACUACCAACACAAGAAAAAUGAAAAGAGUACUGGUAGCAGUGGUCGUAUAGCACGGCAGCAGGCAGGAAACCAUGACAACGAGACAGCCGGGCAGUGUGCCAGAAGUGUGAUGCAGCAGGUGUUAGGCCGACGGAAUCAUGUAAAAUAAGAAACAAACAAAAGGUGACGGAAUCAGCCCCAAACCCGA